ACCAGAAUCUGAUGGCAUAAAAAAAGUAAAAAAAAUAUUGAUUUUCCUAUGGUAAUAUUAAACUGUCUCCUGUCAUGUCUAAGUACAUGUUUUGUCAAUAAUACUGAGAUUUUCCAAAGAUUCCUUGAAAUUAUUCUGAAUUUCGUAAGAAUAUCGAAAAAACCACUUCGAUCACAAGCAAGAAAGAUUGUUUACAUUGUUUAUUGUAAAAUUAGUGAAGAAGCAGUUGGAGAUCAACCGCAAUCUUCGAUUUUAAAACGCGUCCAAAGUUGACCGGAGUUCCUAGCACUACCACACGACGAAUAAUUGCUGAAGGUAGACCGAAUGGAAGUGUAUUUAGUGCACCCGGUAAAAAGAAGAGAGGUGGAAAGAAAACAAAUAACCUGGACAGUUUUGAUUUGGAAAUAGCAUAAUAAUAUAAAGUGAUCUUUUCAUAAAUAUUUUGUUUUUUUAUAUAUACCUACCUACACUAGCUAGAUUUUGCCCGCAGCUUCGCUAGCGACAUCUAUCGCUUCAAGCAACUGUUGGAAUCUAGAGGUUGGAUAAAAAAUAGCAUACCUAUGUUCCAUUCCAUCUAUCUCCAUACAAAAUCUCAAGUCGUUCCGUUGCUUAGUUUUGACGUGAUGAGUGGAUAAACAGACAAACUCACAUUCAGGCGUUAGCGUUCACAAGACGACCGGGCGGACAAUACUGGACACGACAGGGCAAAAAAUAGAACGAAAGCAAUACUGUAUUGCAUACAAUAAGUACUUUAUAUAAUGUCCAUAUUGUCCGUCAAUAGGUAAAAAAUAAAAAGUAUCAAGACGUUUUCAUCCAAUUACCCGAGUGUUGCUUACUAUAGAAAUUUUAUUUCCCCAUUUGCCAUCAGAUUCUGG